AAAGCUAUAGCUCAGUAGUAGAGCACAAACUUACCACGCAUGAGGUCCUGGGUUCAAUUCCCAGCACCUGCA
rnacentral:tRNA from 1 species